rnacentral:rRNA from 1 species
UUCUAGGUAGAAUUAUGAUAAUGACAUUGUCUGCCUAUGUGUCUUGACCAAAUUACGUGCCAGCAGUCGCGGUAAUACGUAGAAGACUAGUGUUAUUCAUGUUUAAUCGGUUUAAAGGGUACCUAGACGGUAAAUCAAGCCUAAAAUUAAAUGAAGGGACUAAUUUACUAGAGUUACUUAUGAGGGGGUAUUAAAGUACUGCUGGUGUAGAGAUGAAAUUCUGUCAUACCUCUUUUCAAUAGAAAAACAAUGGCACAGGUAUAGGCGAAAGCAUCCCCUUAUGUGAUAACUGACGUUGAGGGACGAAGGCUUUGUGUAGCGAACAGGAUUAGAUACCCCAGUAGUCAAAGCAGAAAAUGAUGAAUGUCAUAGAUUAGAUAAAUAAGUUUAUUCUAUAAAUGAAAGUGUAAGCAUUCCACCUCAAGAGUAAUUUGGCAACAUUGGAACUGAAAUCAUUAGACCGUUUCUGAAACCAGUAGUGAAGUAUGUUGUUUAAUUUGAUGAUCCGCAAAAAACCUUACCACAAUUUGAAUAUUUAUAUUUUUUUAUUGUUUUCUUUUUAAUUUUCUUCUGAUUUGAUUUUUCUAAAGAAAAAAAGAAAAAGAGGCGAUAUGAUAUAUUUACAAGCGUUGCACGGCUGUCUUCAGUUAAUGUCGCGAGACUUUGGUUAGUUCCAUUAAAUUAACGUAAACCCUUACUUUAUUUUUAUAUAGAGUAGUUCCCCGCUAUAUUGGAUAUGAUAA